ACGAACGCUGGCGGCAUGCCUAAUCCCUGCAAGUCGCACGAGAUCUUCGGAUCUAGUGGCGCACGGGUGCGUAACGCGUGGGAAUCUGCCCUUGGGUUCGGAAUAACUUCUGGAAACGGAAGCUAAUACCGGAUGAUGACGUAAGUCCAAAGAUUUAUCGCCCAAGGAUGAGCCCGCGUAGGAUUAGGUAGUUGGUGAGGUAAAGGCUCACCAAGCCGACGAUCCUUAGCUGGUCUGAGAGGAUGAUCAGCCACACUGGGACUGAGACACGGCCCAGACUCCUACGGGAGGCAGCAGUAGGGAAUAUUGGACAAUGGGCGAAAGCCUGAUCCAGCAAUGCCGCGUGAGUGAUGAAGGCCUUAGGGUUGUAAAGCUCUUUUACCCGGGAUGAUAAUGACAGUACCGGGAGAAUAAGCUCCGGCUAACUCCGUG
rnacentral:rRNA from 1 species